AAGAAAUAUGAAAAAGGGGAAGGAGGAAUACACGGCAAAUGAGGGAAAAAAUGAGGAAAAGAAAAUCGAAAGAAGCAUUUCAUUCAUGCAUGCAUACAUACAGCAGUUGAAUAAAAGACAGGGACAGGAAAAGCAUUUUUUGCGAAAACCCGCAAUUAAGUCAACCACUAAGUUCUCACAGGUCGAUCUUGGGCACUGCCUUCACACCUUCUGUGUAAAAGGAAAGGAGGUAAGUCAAACGAUCGACUCAACAGAAUGUCAGUCAGAAGAUUAA
rnacentral:ribozyme from 1 species